rnacentral:misc_RNA from 1 species
GAUGAAGAACGUAGCGAAAUGCGAUAACUAAUGUGAAUUGCAGAAUUCAGUGAAUCAUCGAGUCUUUGAACGCACAUUGCGCCCCCUGGUAUUCCGGGGGGCAUGCCUGUCCGAGCGUCAUUGCUGCCCUCAAGCACGGCUUGUGUGUUGGGCUCCGUCCCCCCGGGGACGGGCCCGAAAGGCAGCGGCGGCACCGAGUCCGGUCCUCGAGCGUAUGGGGCUUUGUCACCCGCUCUGUAGGCCCGGCCGGCGCCAGCCGACAACCCAUCAUCCUUUUCAGGUUGACCUCGGAUCAGGUAGGGAUACCCGCUGAACUUAAGCAUAUCAAUAAGCGGAGGA